rnacentral:rRNA from 1 species
GGAUCCAGACUUUGAUUAUGGCUCAGGAUGAACGCUAGCUACAGGCUUAACACAUGCAAGUCGAGGGGAAACGACAUCGAAAGCUUGCUUUUGAUGGGCGUCGACCGGCGCACGGGUGAGUAACGCGUAUCCAACCUGCCCACCACUUGGGGAUAACCUUGCGAAAGUAAGACUAAUACCCAAUGAUAUCUCUAGAAGACAUCUGAAAGAGAUUAAAGAUUUAUCGGUGAUGGAUGGGGAUGCGUCUGAUUAGCUUGUUGGCGGGGUAACGGCCCACCAAGGCAACGAUCAGUAGGGGUUCUGAGAGGAAGGUCCCCCACAUUGGAACUGAGACACGGUCCAAACUCCUACGGGAGGCAGCAGUGAGGAAUAUUGGUCAAUGGACGAGAGUCUGAACCAGCCAAGUAGCGUGCAGGAUGACGGCCCUAUGGGUUGUAAACUGCUUUUAUAAGGGAAUAAAGUGAGUCUCGUGAGACUUUUUGCAUGUACCUUAUGAAUAAGGACCGGCUAAUUCCGUGCCAGCAGCCGCGGUAAUACGGAAGGUCCGGGCGUUAUCCGGAUUUAUUGGGUUUAAAGGGAGCGUAGGCCGGAGAUUAAGCGUGUUGUGAAAUGUAGACGCUCAACGUCUGCACUGCAGCGCGAACUGGUUUCCUUGAGUACGCACAAAGUGGGCGGAAUUCGUGGUGUAGCGGUGAAAUGCUUAGAUAUCACGAAGAACUCCGAUUGCGAAGGCGGCUCACUGGAGCGCGACUGACGCUGAAGCUCGAAAGUGCGGGUAUCGAACAGGAUUAGAUACCCUGGUAGUCCGCACGGUAAACGAUGGAUGCCCGCUGUUGGUCUGAAUAGGUCAGCGGCCAAGCGAGAGCAUUAAGCAUCCCACCUGGGGAGUACGCCGGCAACGGUGCAACUCAAAUGAAUUGACGG